UACGAAGGGGGCUAGCGUUGUUCGGAAUUACUGGGCGUAAAGCGCACGUAGGCGGGUAUUUAAGUCAGGGGUGAAAUCCCAGAGCUCAACUCUGGAACUGCCUUUGAUACUGGGUACCUAGAGUAUGGAAGAGGUGAGUGGAAUUCCGAGUGUAGAGGUGAAAUUCGUAGAUAUUCGGAAGAACACCAGUGGCGAAGGCGGCUCACUGGACCGGUAUUGACGCUGAUGUGCGAAAGCGUGGGGAGCAAACAGG
rnacentral:rRNA from 1 species